UUUGGAGUAUUGACCCAUGGAAUGGAUGGUGGCAGACAUCUUCACAAAACCUCUCUUUAGAAAUAAGUUUCUAGCUUUUAGGGAUAUGUUAGGUCUUGUUUUAGUAGAGAAUUAAGUCUCACUUCUUCCAAAGGAGGAGUGUUGAAUGUCCCAUAUUAUAUGUACUGGAAGUUGUGACUUAUCCUGCUCUCAACUAAGACCUUGAAAGAACCCUCUUUUUGGCUUCUGGCACAUUUUGUUUGCAACUAAUGAUGUCCAUACUACUUUCAUAACCUAUCCGGUUUAACACACACAUACUCCUUCAACUGCCGCUACCGCCGUCCGAUGUCGAAGCGCGUAAGUCUGCGAUCAACCCGUCUCCUACUCCAGGUCGCUCCGCCAGCCUCUCAAUCGUGAAGAUGAGCGAGAAAACGUCGCAGGAUUCGGAGCUACGUAAACACUAGAUGGGAUUUAUACCUGGGGAUACCUCCAGCGUUGCAUUCAUUCAUCUGGAUCGAUAGUGCUGGAGACGGAGUGCCCAUGUAUUGCGAAGAUGAGUGGAUUCGAUGUCGAAGGCCACCGAAAAGGCCGC
rnacentral:lncRNA from 1 species